CUACUGGUGGUUCAGGGGUAGAGUUCUUGCCUUCUAAGUGAGAGACCCAGGUUCAUUUCCCGGCCAAUGCA
rnacentral:tRNA from 1 species